rnacentral:rRNA from 1 species
AAUAGAUACCCGGGUAGUCCACGCCGUAAACGAUGUCGACUUGGAGGUUGUUCCCUUGAGGAGUGGCUUCCGGGAGCUAACGCGUUAAGUCGACCGCCUGGGGAGUACGGCCGCAAGGUUAAAACUCAAAUGAAUUGACGGGGGCCCGCACAAGCGGUGGAGCAUGUGGUUUAAUUCGAUGCAACGCGAAGAACCUUACCUACUCUUGACAUCCAGAGAACUUAGCAGAGAUGCUUUGGUGCCUUCGGGAACUCUGAGACAGGUGCUGCAUGGCUGUCGUCAGCUCGUGUUGUGAAAUGUUGGGUUAAGUCCCGCAACGAGCGCAACCCUUAUCCUUUGUUGCCAGCGGCUAGGCCGGGAACUCAAAGGAGACUGCCAGUGAUAAACUGGAGGAAGGUGGGGAUGACGUCAAGUCAUCAUGGCCCUUACGAGUAGGGCUACACACGUGCUACAAUGGCGCAUACAAAGAGAAGCGACCUCGCGAGAGCAAGCGGACCUCAUAAAGUGCGUCGUAGUCCGGA